rnacentral:rRNA from 1 species
GACGAACGCUGGCGGCGUGCUUAACACAUGCAAGUCGAACGAUGAAGCCAGCUUGCUGGUGGAUUAGUGGCGAACGGGUGAGUAACACGUGGGUGAUCUGCCCCAAACUUUGGGAUAAGCCUGGGAAACUGGGUCUAAUACCGAAUAUGACCGAUACUCGCAUGGGUGUUGGUGGAAAGCUCCGGCGGUUUGGGAUGGGCCCGCGGCCUAUCAGCUUGUUGGUGGGGUAAUGGCCUACCAAGGCGACGACGGGUAGCCGGCCUGAGAGGGCGACCGGCCACACGGGGACUGAGACAGGGCCCAGACUCCGACGGGGGGAAGCGGGGGGGAAUAUGGCACAGUGGGCGAAAGCCGGAUGCAGCGACGCCGGGUGGGGGAGGAGGGCCUUCGGGUUGUAAACCUUUUUCCCCAGGGACGAAGGGAAAGUGACGGUACCGGGAGAAGAAGCACCGGCCAACUACGU